rnacentral:lncRNA from 1 species
CUUCUGUGAAGAUGGAGGUGGUCCGUUACUGGAUGAUCAGGAGCAGGACAAAUAUGAGCUGAGGGUGGAGGACAGUAGGAGCCUAGGAUUCCAGGCACCAAUGGAGGAUGAAGAGUAUGACUAUUUAGAGCAGGAGGAAGGACACACGACAGAGCUGGAUUAUGUAACGAAAUCAAGGUUCUUGACUCAAACAGUUCAGUGUAUGAGGAGAAAAAAACAUGGCAAACGCAAACGUCCAAUCAGCAAAUCACAAAAUUGCAUAGAUCUCAAAAUCCGCAUCUUGGAAAACCCAAACAUUGAAGUGCUUUCAAAUACUGUGUUUCGGAUGUACCGACUUCACAAGCUGAAGGUUCCUCGUGGUUUGCAGGAAGCUGACUUCCUGAAACUACUGAGGUCUACCUUCCCUCAGCUGGCUGGAGAUGAACCUUUUGACCUUUUCUUAUAUUGCAAACCCAACAAACUGAAACCUCUGCAAGUAGACUCGGUGACACCAGAGGAAAUCAUCAGAGUUUCUGGGGGAUCUACCCUCUACAUACGACUGCAGAAAGAAGAUGCUGAUGAAGAUCUUCCAUCCACUGAGACAGAUACCCAUAUAAAUCUCACAAUCCGCAUCCUGGAAAAGCGAAAGAUUAAUGUUUUGUCAGCGCACUUGUUUCAGAGGUGCCCGCUUCACAAGCUGAAGGUCCCUUGUGGUUUGCAGGAAACCGACUUCCUGAAACUACUGAGGUCUACCUUCCCUCAGCUGGCUGGAGAUGAACCUUUUGACCUUUUUUUAAGGGCCAGGCACAACAAACUUAAAGCUCUGAAAGGACACUCGGUGACACCAGAGGAAAUCAUCAGACUUUCUCGGGGAUCUACCCUCUACAUACGACUGUCACUGUGUCGAGAAGAUUUAAGACUUAAGAUCCGCAUCCUUGAGGACCCUAAGAUUGAUAAGAUCACACAAAUAAUAUGGCAGAAUCACCCGUGUCAUGAGCUGAAUGUUCCUCAUGGUCUUCAGGAGGCUGACUUCCUGGCUCUGCUGAGGUCCACUUUCCCUCAGCUGGCUGCUGGUGAACCUUUUACCAUCUUAGUUGCUCGCAACCACAAUCUAAUUCCUCCAAGAGUGGAGAGUAUGACUGCAGAAGAGAUCUGCAAGAACGGGACUGUGAAUCCUGGUAUUUACAUCCGACUGAAGGGUCCAGAGAAAAGGUCUCUACAGAGAGAAGAUGCUACUGUUGCUGCUGAACUUCCUCCACCCAGCCUGGAUCCAACCACACUGACCACUGAGUGAGUCAAG